AGAAGGGGCUAUCGCUUCUAGUCCGCCCGAGGAUGGGGCUGCGUCCCAUCAGGUAGUUGGCGGGGUAAUGGCCCGCCAAGCCUAUAACGGGUAGGGGCCGUGAGAGCGGGAGCCCCCAGAUGGGCACUGAGACAAGGGCCCAGGCCCUACGGGGCGCACCAGGCGGGAAACCUCCGCAAUGCGGUAACCCGUGACGGGGUCACCCCGAGUGCUCCCCUUAUGGGGAGCUUUUCCCUGCUGCAGGAAGGCAGGGGUAAUAAGUGGGGGGCAAGACUGGUGUCAGCCGCCGCGGUAAUACCAGCCCCACGAGUGGUCGGGACGGUUAUUGGGCCUAAAGCGCCCG
rnacentral:rRNA from 1 species